AUGAGUCCAUAUUGUCCUCUAAUAGAUAGGUAUAAUCAGUAUGGUAAUGAGUCCAUAUUGUCCUCUAUUAGAUAGGUAUAAUCAGUAUGGUAAUGAGUCCAUAUUGUCCUCUAUUAGAUAGGUAUAACCAGUAUGGGAAUGAGUCCAUAUUGUCCUCAUAAUUUCCACCGUAAUAGAUCUUCACAACUGCAUAGGGGGUAGGGGGCGAUUUGGGAUUUGACGUUAAUUCACAUUUUGUUUGCCCUCCACCUCAGGAGCCUGUAGAUGUUAGGGUGUGAAGGAAUCUGUCUGGGCGUUUCACUAUCAAUCUGAGCCAUGGAAUGUCUCGCUGUGCCUCUAGCAAAUGAGAAGAGCCAGAGCCAUCUACAGCCACACUGAUUGGCCACCUGCUGUGAUACACUUCCCCCUUAGAUCAGAUCCAGAGCUCCUGCUGGUUCCAGGCUGACACCCUCAGAUCCAGAGCUCCUGCUGGUUCCAGGCUGACACCCUCAGAUCCAGAGCUCCUGCUGGUUCCAGGCUGACACCCUCAGAUCCAGAGCUCCAGCUGGUUCCAGGCUGACACCCUCAGAUCCAGAGCUCCAGCUGGUUCCAGGCUGACACCCUCAGAUCCAGAGCUCCAGCUGGUUCCAGGCUGACACCCUCAGAUCCAGAGCUCCUGCUGGUUCCAGGCUGACACCCUCAGAUCCAGAGCUCCAGCUGGUUCCAGGCUGACACCCUCAGAUCCAGAGCUCCUGCUGGUUCCAGGCUGACACCCUCAGAUCCAGAGCUCCUGCUGGUUCCAGGCUGACACCCUCAGAUCCAGAGCUCCAGCUGGUUCCAGGCCGAAACCCACUGCUCAGUCCCAUGGCUUCAGUCACGACACUCCAGACCAGCCAAACUUAACCAAGCAGCUACAUUUGCAUUAUUUCAACGUCAUGUCCACCUCCUUAGCUACCACUCAGCUUCUGCUUUGAUACCUGUCGGUAGAUUUUACCCCUUUAAAGUCACCUUAUCAUGAGGCAGACGUACUAUAGUGGUGUACUCUGUCAGUUAGCCAGUGUUGCAGCAACACCAGCCUAGGUUACAGUCUGUUUAUGCCCUCUUACCGACUCCUUAUAGAAUUGUCAUGGCUUGGGAGUUGGAAAGAGCACAACCAGAUCUGUGAUCAGGCUAAUGACACACAGGGACAAAUCUAACUGCAAGUGAUGAUCUGUAAGGGUGUUGUCUCCUGUGCAAACCUUAUCCCAAGAUGCACAGCCAGGGGUGGGUGGAAAUUAUUACUCUGUCUGUGGCAUUUUGGUGGAGGAGCCAUUAAGGAAGUCCCAUUAAGGAAGUCCCAUUAAGGAAGUCCCAUUAAGGAAGUCCCAUUGAGGAAGUCCCAUUGAGGAAGUCCCAUUGAGGAAGUCCCAUUAAGGAAGUCCCAUUAAGGAAGUCCCAUUAAGGAAGUCCCAUUAAGGAAGUCCCAUUAAGGAAGUCCCAUUAAGGAAGUCCCAUUAAGGAAGUCCCAUUAAGGAAGUCCCAUUAAGGAAGUCCCAUUAAGGAAGUCCCAUUGGUCAUAGUGAGAUCGGCUACGUCAUGUUCUGGCUGUGGUGGGAUCCAGCUUUGUCUUCAAGAUACUGUUUUUAUUUAUUCCAUUGAUUAUGAUUCUAAGGCAAGUUAACCACUGUGAGGACUCUUCAGGGUUACUGAUGAGGUAACGAACCGAGCAAAACACAGACCACAAUGUAGGCGCGGCUUCAAACAGGAAGUGGGCAGAACCUCUGCCUUGUUGUGAAUGUAUACAUGACACUGCUCAACACUCACCAUGUGCUAUCUAUCUUUUCUAUUUCUUCAGAGGGAGGCACCAUUAGACUGGUUAUGCCACAGUCUCACACUACAACCAUUCUUAUUGCACUCAUCCUUCUUGAAUGAACUAUGAGAUGCAUCUUAUUGAAUGGACAUGUAUUUCUAUUUCUGCAUUUAGUUUGACCACUGAUGUGAAGGGACAGCGAGUGACUGACAUGACAUCUACAGAACAAGCAGAGAUGACCAGAUAUAACUGAGCAGUCAUUCACUUCACUGCCUAUUAUUUUUGUUCUGCAGUAGAGUACAGGGUUGGGCUCAGUUCCAUUUCAAUUCAGUCAAUUCUGGAAAGAAACUGAAAUUCCAAUUCCCCUCAUUGAAAAGCAUUGAGGAACGUUUGAAUUGAAGUUUGGAAUUGGAAUUUCAGUCCUAAAUUGUCUGAAUUGAAAUGGUACUGAGACCAACUCUGAAUAGAAGUACUACAUCACCACUGUAAUCUCCCAUUGUCAUUCUUCGGAAUGACAAUAUAAUAAUGAAAUUGUAUUCCUCUGGAAUUAUUGCUAGACAUAACUGUAAACCUUUGUAAGGAAUGAAGCUGACUUUUACACUCAAAUAAUAAAUGCAACAUAUGAUGAUCACAUC